AGUGAACGCUGGCGGUAGGCCUAACACAUGCAAGUCGAACGGCAGCACAGAGGAGCUUGCUCCUUGGGUGGCGAGUGGCGGACGGGUGAGGAAUACAUCGGAAUCUACUCUGUCGUGGGGGAUAACGUAGGGAAACUUACGCUAAUACCGCAUACGAACUACGGGUGAAAGCAGGGGACCUUCGGGCCUUGCGCGAUUGAAUGAGCCGAUGUCGGAUUAGCUAGUUGGCGGGGUAAAGGCCCACCAAGGCGACGAUCCGUAGCUGGUCUGAGAGGAUGAUGAGCCACACUGGAACUGAGACACGGUCCGGACUCCUACGGGAGGCAGCGGUGGGGAAUAUUGGACAAUGGGCGCAAGCCUGAUCCAGCCAUACCGCGUGGGUGAAGAAGGCCGUCGGGUUGUAAAGCCCUUUUGUUGGGAAAGAAAUCCAGCUGGCUAAUACCCGGUUGGGAUGACGGUACCCAAAGAAUAAGCACCGGCUAACUUCGUGCCAGCCGCCGCAGUAA
rnacentral:rRNA from 1 species